UUUAAAGACAGUCUCACUAUGUCACCCAAGCUGGUCUUGAACUCCUGGACUCAAGGGAUCCUACUGCCUUGGCCUCCCAAAGUGCUGGGAUUACAGGCAUAAGCCACCAUGCCUGCCUGCAAUAAACAUUCUUGUAUGACUUCUGGAACAUGUGUGAGCUUCCCUCGGGCUGUAUGACUCGAGUGCAGCCUGUGGACUGCCACUGACCCACAUAGGCCAUGACCAGGGACUUUAUGAGAGUGUGAGCCUCCGUGAAAGACUCAAGAAUCCACAGCACGUAGCAAAGGUCAACCCCAGGGAGACUUAGAUGCUGAUGGCCAUCUCCAGCAUCUUGAUGCAGAGUCAGCGAGUUGUUCCUGUUGCCCAACUCCAACAACCCUAACCAGCCCACUUACCAGGAAGGGCUGCUGGCCCAAGGCUUCUGACCACACUUGUGAGUGAGUGCAGCUGUCCAACCAUCUCUUCGACCACCUUUUAUCCUGACAACCACUCCAGCCAACACACCUACGUCUUCUUUUCCACUAGACAAUGCUCCCUUUCCCUUUUCAAACCCUCUGGAGCCACCCCAAGUUCGCCAUUCCAGGAUGGCCUGCCUGGUGCCCACCUUCCAUGUUUACAGGGCAGGCUCACAGCCACGAGCUCGUGUGCCCACCCAGUGGUGAGAAGGCUAUCAUCUUUCUUGUUUUGCUGGGAAUCAGAGCUCUUGGUCAGGAGUCACCCAUCUGCAGACUCCUGGCACAGAGGCCUUUCCAAACACCACACUAAUUUUUCAUGGCCUCUGACCUGCCUCUGUCCAUCUAUCAAUAACAAAAUCUCCAAGGAACAUGAGCCCCAAAGAGCAAACCCUUCCAGCAUCCUGCUGGUUUGCAGAUAGUGGCUUCCUACGCCUAUUUGUUGACCUCCUGGCAUCUCCAUUCCUCAGCUUUGCAGAUUGGGAAAAAGAGCUUUGUUUUUGAAAUGAUAAGUCCACAGGACAAAGAAACCACUCAGAAUCCCGGUCAUCUGGGCAACCAGCCAGAGGGAUCUGAUCCUGACUGUGCAGGGCAGAUUUUUUUUUAAGUCAGGACUUAAAUGAGAAGAAGGAGAUAACUAAUAUAAGUCUUGAAAUAUUAACUGGUUUGGGAAACUUAUCCCCCCUGCCACCAGUUCCUUUGUUUUUUGAGGUUAAUUUUGAAGAUAUAUCUUACAGAUAAAAACUGAAUUUUUGAACAGCUUUAUUGAGAUAGAAUUCACAUACAAUCCACCCUUUUUAACGUGUGUACAAUGGCUUUUAGUAUAUUCAGAGUUGUAUAACCAUUACUAUCAAAUUUUAGAACAUUCUAUUGCCCCCACACAAAACCCAUCAUCAGUCACUCCCUGUUUCCCCUCACCCUCAGGCAACCAUUCGUCUAGUUUCUGUCUCUGUGGAUUUGCCUGUUCUGGACAUUUCAUAAAAAUAGGAUCAUCAACUAUGUGGGUUUUUUUGUGACUGUCUUCUUUCACUUGCUGUAAUGUUUUUUAAAUUCAUCCAUGUUAUAUAGCAUGUAUCAGUACUUCACUCCUUUUAAUGACAGAGUAAUAUUCCACUGUAUGGAUAUACCACAAUUUGUUGAUCCACUCAUUUGUUAAUGGGCAUUUUGGUUAUUUUUAUUUUUUGGCUAUUAUGAAUAGUGCUAUGAAUAUGCAUACAUAAGCUUUUGUGUGGAUGUAUGUUUUCAUUCUCUCACAUAUGUAUACCUAGAAGUGGGAUUGCUGGGUCAUGGGGUAACUCAAGUGUUUAACUUUGUGAGGGCUUGCCAGACUGCUGUAACAUUUCACAGUCCCACCAGUGGCGUUUUGAGAAUUCUAAUUUCUCUCUUUGCCAGCACUUGUUAUUAUGCCUUUUUGACUCUAGUGCUAUCCUGGUAGAUGUGAAAUUAUGUCUCAUUGUGGUUCUGAUUUGUAUUUCCCUAAUGACUAAUUCCCUAAGCAUCUUUUCAUAUGCUUAUUGGCCAUUUUAUAUCUUUUUUUGAGAAAUGUGUAUUCAGACCUAAAAACUGUUUUAAAAAGCAAUGUCAUUUUAAAUUAAAUGUGGAGAUAACCUAUGUUUAUUGCUGUAUAUUUACAUCUCUUCCAAACUCAGAGGUGAACAUGUGACUACAUCCUGGCCUGAGAUGCAGAUGAAGCUCCUGGGUAAAGGACCCUGAGAAAUCUGUUUGAAGGAGACUGCCUUCAGGGAAUGAACAUAAUUUUUUUUUUUUGUACCAGCUGACCUCUCUAGUCCUUCUUGCCUGAAAUGGAUAAGAUGGCUGCAGCUCCAGCAACCAUUUUGAGCCACGAGGUUACCCUGAAGAGGGAAACUUCGCAUUAAAGGUGGCCAAGCUGCGCAGCAGAGCCCGGGCUCCUGAUGACAUUGUGGCACCCACACCAGCACUCAACCAUCCACCUCCAGGCUUUUUCCACAUGCAAAUGAACCUCUAAUGCCUUUAAGCCACUUUAUUUAGCUCUCUAUUCUGGCCAAUGAAAGUGAUUCCCCACUGACCCCCAGCCAUGUUAGAUCAUCACUCCUUCCUUCCCAUUUAUCCAAUUUCUAUUUUGUCAUUCAUUUUUCCAUCACUGAGACAUGGAUCUUGACCUAAAGUAACUCAACAAUGAACAGGCAGAGCAGACUUACAAAACUGACUUAUGUGAUAAGGGUCACACUACAGAAAAACAUACAAAGGCCAUGAAAACAAAAACAAAAACAAAAAGGAAAGAACUGGCACUAGACAGUGUUCUAAAAGAUGAGUAAGAAGUUGCCAGGCAGAUAGGAACAAGACAGGCAUUCUAGGAAGAAGAAACAGCACCUACAAAGAGAUGGUGACAUUGGAAGCAUGGUGGGCUCAGAGGACUGCACACACCUCAGUAUGUCUGGGAUGUGGGGGGAUCCGUGGGAGAGCAGCAGAUGAAACUGGGAAAGUGGCCUAGAAUCAGAUCUUGCAGGGCCUUGUAUGUCAUUCCAAAGAAUUUGCAUGUGCUAUAUAAUCAAAUACUCCAUGCAAAUACUGAAAUGUAUUGUCUUUAAUGGCUAAUUGUGUUCCAUAUGGUCUCAUCUCUGCAAUUGGAGGGCAGGGGCCAUGUCUUCUCUUUUAUAAUCUCUACAAUGCUAAGCCCAGCACUGCUACAUGCCAGAAACGGAAAAAUAUCUGUAGCAUUAAAGUCAGCCACAUAGCCUAAGGGACCCACGCAGAUGGCUAUAAACAAAGCUUCAAGAUGCAAUUCCCACAAAGGAAUGAAAUGUAUAAGAAAUUUAUAAAGGAUAUGAGGGAUGACCAUGGACGCAGCACCUUCUUCAGUCAACAAUCUGCUGCAUGUCUCCACUGUUUCCAGUUAGCUUCUGGGACAGGGAUGGGGAAGGCAUGGGCCCUGCUCUCGAGGGGCUCACAGUAGAGAGGGGAGACACACACACAGAAGGCUACAGUAAGUCAGAGUGCUCUCUGCAAGGCGGAAUGGAAACCCAGAGAAGGAAGUGUCACUGGGAGGGCAAGAGUUAAGGUUCUCACGUCACAUGAAUGUGUGUUUAGGCAAUGUGACCUUGAGCCCAGCCUUUGAUCUGUGUGAUGUUCCCAAUGGCCACGUGUGACACUAGUCCCCACCUUCAAGGACUGUGAGGAUUAGUGAGGUGGUGUGUGUGAAGGGUCAGCACACACGCAGCACAGAGUUGAAUGCUCAGUAAUUGUUAGGUAGAAAAAAGGUCAUUAUUUGAAGUGGUCAAAGGUUGUAUUACAGGCGAUGGGCACAGCUCUUGUACAGGCUGAAGGCUCCAAACAGCCCUGACAAGUUUGUGGAACAGCAAGGAACUGGAUGCCGCUACAGGGUAGUGUAGAGGUGGGGAGGGUAGGACCAGGUGAGAGGAGCCUGAGCUUGAUCUUGUAGCUGAUGGGAAACUACUGAAGUUGGCAAACAAAGGAGGCAUCUGCAUUGUAGGGUGCUCCUUCUGCUGCUGGCAGCGUGGAGGGAAGUGUGGUGGGGUGAGUGGAUAUGGAUAGCUGCUGCUAGGGGUUAGCCAAGGAUGUGAGCUGCACCCACAGCACACUUAUUUCUGCCUACGAUCAAAAAAGGAUGUUCAGGCCAGGCAUGGUGGCCCACACCUGUAAUCCCAGCACUUUGGGAGGCCGAGGCGGGCAGAUCACCUGAGGUCAGGAGUUUGAGACCAGCCUGGCCAACAUGGUGAAACCCCGUCUCCAGUAAAAAUACAAAAAGUAGCCAGGUGUGCUGGUGCGCACCUGUAAUCCCAGCUACUCAGGAGGCUGAGGCAGGAGAAUCGCCUGAACCCGGGAGGCAGAGGUUGCAGUGAGUUGAGAUCGCGCUAUUGCACUCCAGCCUGGGCAACAGGAACGAAACUCCCGUCUAAAAAAACAAAAACAAAAACAAAAAAAAGGAUGUCCAGUCCUAGGAGCACCUGGAAGGGUAUAAAAAGGCACAGACCCAGCAAACUGCCAGGGGUACAUGAUGGUGCAAAAGCAGGACAGGGAGGAAAAGGGAAGACGUUCUGAAUGAGCUUCAGGAAAAUCAAGGGUACCCGGCCAGAAGGCAGCUGAGGGGAAAUAAGCAUAGAUUUAAAAGCAGAGAGAGGGCAUACCUCCACCCCUUUACUGGCACUGAUUCAGAACACAUUUUUUGGUCAAAGUAUACACAGCUGUAUACUUAAGAAGACAAUCAAACUAAGCCUCCUCAGGUUAUCUGGUCACGGUGUUCUCUGCUAUUUUCUCUAGUUUCUGGCUCUCUGAUUUUAAUCAGAAAUACUUCUGAUAAGGGCAGCGAGUCCAGAUGUCAGCGCGUGACUGCAAUUUGUGAGCAGGCAUGGCUUUAGGCUAGGACAGGUCUGAGAAUCAGCCCUCACUAGAUGCAUAAAAGAAAUGGAGGUGGACCUAGGAAAAUUAAUAGAUGCUGUUCUCUGUACUGUUAAGCAUAUAAAACAGCAUUCUGGACAGAUGCUUGGCAGAGAAAAGGAAAGAAGGGCUCUGCUAGAGAGAAGUGGAUCUUAAGGUGAGCAGAGUUGGGGCCACUGCACAUAAGAUUGAGCUUAACUUCAUGAGAAGCCAAGGUUUAAUGUGACACUGGAAUCUCAUGGUAGCCAUCCUAGAGUGGAUUCUCAAGGAGAUUCACUGUGGUAUCAAAGGGCCCUUACUGUGAUGGGUCUCCUGACAAGACCCAUGAAGAAACAUAAAAUUGACCAUCUCUUUGACCCAGUUUUCCUGCUUAUGAAAGUGGCACCCCAGGGGACAGUUUCAAAAUGGGGGGGAGGAGUGUCAGGGAAGUUAUCUGUAUAAAGAUCGAUGUUUGUUAAACCAUACUAAAAGAUGCUUAUAGCCACUUCAUUCCCUAUAGUGAAAUAAUGAUGUACAUUAAGCUGAUGAACUAUUAGGCAACAAUUAAAAAUAACUAGGAAGCUCGGUUUUAGAAAUGUUAAAGAAAGAAGAACCAAAUGGUGUGUAUACACUGAUUACACAUUCCAUGGAAACCUGUGCAGAUCAUAAGUUGGACACAGAGAUACAAAGCCUUUUCUUUUUAAGGAAAAGGUGAUUAUUUUUGGAAAAGCAAUAAAACCUGGGUUCCCAGCAAAGACAGUGGCACAGUUACCAGACUCACUUGCAACCUGGGAGACCUGGGCUGGGAGCAAGGUCCACUCUUGUAUUUUUUGAUUUUCAAAAACCGUGAACAACUAUGGCUGUGCAUGGAGAGGCUGGUGUGGGGUGGGGUGCGGGGAGGUGCUCUGUUCAACCGCAGGGAAUAAUGACCAAAAAAAAAAAGGCGGGGGGGAGGGGGAAGGAAUGCAGUACACCCCACAGAAAAUGCUUAAAACCUGGCCAAACUGUUACUAAGCAUGUGAGCUUUCAGACUUAGGGAGAAUGUGGCAAUUAGAAAUGUAGUGGAGGGCCGGGUGCAGUGGCUCACACCCGUCAUCCCAGCACUUUGGGAGGAUGAGGCAGAUAGAUCAUCUGAGGUCAGGAGCUCGAGACCAGCCUGGCCAACAUGGGUGAAACCCCAUUUCUACUAAAAAUACAAAAAUUAGCUGGACGUGGUGGUGCAUGCCUGUAAUCCCAGCUACUCGGGAGGCUGAGGCAGGAGAAUCACUUGAACCCGGGGAGUGGAGGUUGCAGUGAGCCACUGCACUCCAGCCUAGGCAGCAGAGCGGGACUCCAUCUCCAAAAAUAAAUAAAUAAAUAAAUAAAUAACAAAAACAAAAGAAAUACAGUGGAGAAAGAAGCUGUUUCAAUUGAGGGUGGAACAGAUGCAAUAUUUCUGGCCACUCCUACCACUGGACAAACACACACUUACUAUGAGUGACUAUAUAGAUGCAGCCUGGGAUUUACUAAGAAACACCAUAACAGAACAUCGAUAGGCCAGGUGACAGCUUUUCACUACAACACCUUACUUCCUUUGAACAUUUGGAUUUUCUAGUUUUCCUAGACAAUGACCUACAC
rnacentral:lncRNA from 10 species